rnacentral:rRNA from 1 species
CGCUGAAAGAUAAAUCUGUUUAAGAUUAGGUUGUUGGUAAUUUAAAAGCUUACCAAGCCAAUGAUCUUUAGUUGGUCUGAGAGGAUGAUCAACCACACUGGAACUGAAACAAGGUCCAGGCUAAUACGUUGGCCAGCAGUGGGGGAUAUUGGACAAUGAACGAAAGUUUGAUCCAGCAAUACUAACUGGGUGACGACGGCUUAUUUAAGUUGUAAGAUCCUUUAAUUGAAGAAGAUAAUGACACUAUUUAAUUGAAUUAGUCCUGGCUAAUACUCGUGCCAGCAGCCGCGGUAAUACGGGAAGGGCAAGCGUUAUCCGGCAUGACUGGGCGUAAAGAGUCCGUAGACUGUAAAAUAAGUUUUUUGUUAAAUUUUAAGACCUAAUCUUAACAUAGCAACUAAUACUAUUUUACUGUGAGUCUAAUACAGAAAAGUAGAAUUUUAUACGAAAGAGGUGAAAUUUGCAGAUAUAUAAAGGAAUGCCAAAAGCGAAGGCAACUUUUUAGUAUAGACUGACGUUGAGGGACGAAAGCGUGGGUAGCAAACGGGAUUAGAGACCCCGGUAGUCCACGCCGUAAAUUCUGAGUGCUGUAAUUUAAUUGUAAUAUUUUUUAAAAUAUUAUUUAGAUUUUCAAGCUAACGCAAUAAGCACUCCGCCUGAAAAGUACGAUCGCAAGAUUGGAACUCAAAGGAAUUGACGGGGGUCUAACACUAGUGGUGGAGCAUGUGGUUUAAUGCGAUAAUCCGCGCAAAACCUUACCAAUUCUUGACAUAAUUGUAUAAUUACGCUUAACCUUAUUUUGUAUGGCUUAAUUAUUUAUUACAGGUGUUGCACGACUGUCGUCAGCUCGUGUCGUGAGAUGUUUGGUUAAGUCCUGAAACGGGCGUAACUCUUACUUUUA